rnacentral:rRNA from 1 species
CCUACGGGUGGCAGCAGUGGGGAAUAUUGCACAAUGGGGGAAACCCUGAUGCAGCGACGCCGCGUGAGUGAUGAAGUAUUUCGGUAUGUAAAGCCCUUUUAGCAGGGAAGAAAAUGACGGUACCUGACCAAUAAGCCCCGGCUAACUACGUGCCAGCAGCCGCGGUAAUACGUAGGGGGCAAGCGUUAUCCGGAUGUACUGGGGGUAAAGGGAGCGUAGACGGGAGGGCAAGUCAGGAGUGAAAGGCGGGGGCUCAACCCCCGGACUGCAGUUGAAACUGGCAGGCUGGAGUGCAGGAGAGGUAAGUGGAAUUCGUGGUGUAGCGGUGAAAUGCGUAGAGAUUAGGAGGAACACCAAUGGCGAAGGCGGCGUACUGGACUGUAACUGACGUUGAGGCUCGAAAGCGUGGGGAGCAAACAGGAUUAGAUACCCUAGUAGUC